rnacentral:lncRNA from 1 species
UAGUUAUCACCAUAACCAGCUUAUUUUAAGGACUUAAUAAUUUAAAAAAUUUAAUUGAUUUAGAGAAGAGAGAAGAGAAGAAAAAAUCAAUCAGUAGACUAUAAUCCUCUCACUUACUUCAUCAAGUCACUAAAUCGGGUUAGGUCAUGCUGAUUAAACUAGCAGCUAGAUUAGUCACACUGAUCAACCUUAAUGGCAUGGGCUAACUCAAAUCACUUAGCGAUCUAAUUAAAAUCUAGUUCACCAAAUUGGUCAGGUAAGUG